CUGGCCCUCAAGCAGCAUCAGGCCUGCCUCACGCUCAUCACCAACGAGCUGAAGCAGGACACCACCAACGCCGAUGUCUACAUCCUCCGGGCCAGACUCUACAACUUUCUCCAGAAGCCCCACCUCUGCUACCGGGAUCUGCACAGCGCCUUGCUGUUGAAUCCCAAGCACCCGCAGGCCAGGAUGCUGCUCCAGAAGAUGGUGGCCCAGGCCCAGCAGGCGCGCCAAGAUGCGGGGAUCCUGGCUGUGCAGGGCAAGCUGCAGCACGCACUGCAGCGGAUCAACCGUGCCAUCGAGAACAACCCUCUGGACCCCAGUCUCUUCCUCUUCCGGGGCACCAUGUACCGACGGCUCCAGGAGUUUGAUGGGGCAGUGGAGGACUUCCUGAAGGUGCUGGACAUGGUGACCGAGGACCAGGAGGACAUGGUACGGCAGGCACAGCGCCAGCUGUUGCUGACCUACAACGACUUUGCCGUGCACUGCUACAGGCAGGGCGCCUACCAGGAGGGCGUGCUGCUGCUGAACAAGGCCCUCCGGGACGAGCAGCAGGAGAAAGGACUCUACAUCAACCGAGGCGGCAGUUCCAGAAGGCAGAGAACCACUUCUCCACGGCCAUCCGGCACAACCCCCAGAAGGCCCAGUACUACCUGUACCGGGCCAAGAGCCGGCAGCUGCUGCAGAACAUUUUUGGGGCCCGCCAGGAUGUGGCCACUGUCCUGCUCCUCAACCCCAAGCAACCAAAGCUGUCCCUGCUGAUGACCAACCUCUUCCCGGGCAUGUCGGUGGAGGAGGUGCUUAGCACCCAGAUAGCCCACCUGGCCAGGCUGCAGCUGGAGCAGAUGGUGGAGGGCAGCCUGCAGGCCGGCAGCCCACAAGGCAUUGUGGGGAUGCUUAAGCGGCAGGAGUUGGAGCGCCAGAAGGCCUUGGCCCUGCAGCACUCAUGGAAGCAGGGGGAGCCUUUGAUUGCGACCUCCGAGGAGCUGAAGGCCACCCCUGAGAUUCCGCAGGUAAAACCGGGAAGCUCAGAGGGAGAGGCUGAGGCCCCUGAGGAGGAGGAAGAAAAGGAGAAGGAGAAAAAAGAGGUAAGUGGAGUACAGGCCAGGGCUCAGAGCCCUUGGGGUCUGGGGCACAGCGUACCCCAGCCCAGGGCUGAAGGAUGCAGGCCAGUGGAGUCUGGCUUCCAGGCCUGGCUCUGCACUCCCUCAGCUGUGUGAUGGGCUGGGGACAUCUUGCUAUGAGAUGGGGAUGGUACCAGCAAGGGGUGCUCCUGACGAAGGGUGUGUGGGGAUGUGGGCCCUCAGAGAGAGGAGUCACAGCCCUGCUUAUGGUCACUGUCAUGAAUUCUACUGUAGGCACUAGCCACUUGCCGCUUGUGCCAGAAUUUUUUGUUUUUGAGUCGGAGUCUUGCUCUGUCACCUAGGCUGGAGUACAGUGGCACAAUCUCGGCUCGCUGCAACCUCCGCCUCCUGGGUUCAAGCAAUUCUCAUGCCUUAGCCUCCCAGGUAGCUGGGAUUACAGGUGUGUGCCACCACAUCCGGCUAAUUUUUCGUAUUUUUAGUAUUUUUGUUGGGCUUAAGUGGUCUGCACACCUGGGCCUCCCAAAGUGCUGGGAUUACAGGCAUGAGCCACUGCACCCGGCCCCCAGAAUUUUCUUAAUUCUUAAAUUUGUUUCUGAAAACCUCUUAUUGAACGUAACAUAAAUAUAGAAAAGUGCACAAAUCAUAAGUACCGGUUUGAUGAAUUUUCACAAACUGCAUUACACCCAUGAUAGCAUUAUCCAGAUCGAGAAAGAACACUUUCCCAGCUCCCAGAAGCCCCUUGGGGCCCCCUUCGAGGCCCCUCCCGUAACCCACCCCACCUACAAGGCUGUCUUGAUUCCUAACACCAAACAUGAGUUUCGUCUUUUCUUCACAUAAAUGGACAGCAUGGUGAGCGUCACUCACGCUGCGGCGGGUGGCAGCGGCCUGCUCCCUCUCGCUGGUGCUGCAGAAUAUUCCAUCCUUGACAGUCCCACAGUGUGUUCCUCUGUUCUACUGCUGGUAGACAUCAAGUACACUAAUGUUCAAAGGAAACUUGAAGCAAUUGAAGUAGAGGAAUACCAGCAUCCCUUGCCAUCAAUAGAAAAUGUGGCUGGGCGCGGUGGCUCACACCUGUAAUCCCAGCACUUUGGGAGGCCAAGAUGGGCAGAUUGCUUGAGCCCAGGAGUUCAAGACUAGCCUGGGCAACAUGGCAAAACCCUGUCUCUGCAAAAAAUACAAACAUUAGCCAGGCAUGGUGGUGUAUGCCUAUAGUCCCAGCUACUUGGGAGGCUGAGGCAAGAGGAUCUCUUGAGCCCCAGAGUCAUUUGAGGCUGCAGUGAGCCGUAAUCAUACUACUGCAUUCCAGCCUAGGUGAGAGAGCCAGACCCUGUCUAAAGAAGAAAAGAAAAAAGGAAAGAAAGUGCUAGCUCUUCAGUUUUCUAGCUCAUGUUAGAAUGAAUAUUAAAGUACACACCUUCCCUCUGUGUGACCCCUGAAGUCAGAGGCUCCCUCCCCCAGGGAGACAUUGGGCUGAAGUGGAUGGAGCCCAGAGCGCAACUCCCAGCUGGCGCCUGGAGCACUAUGGUGUACCUCGCUGUCUACAGGUGUGAACGUGGGCAGAGACCCGCAGCCUAGGUAGGGUCUGGCUGUGGCAGCCAGCAGACCUGGAUUCAAACCCGGCCUCUCUGCUUCUUAGCUGAGUGGCCCUGGACAGGUUGCUUAGGGGCUCUGAGCUUUGGUUUCCUGUUCAGUGAAAUGGUCAUUAGCAGCUCUCCCCAUCCCUCCGUCUCCACUUGUAUUGGGAGAAUGGAUGGGGGUAAAGCAUACAGAAGCUCCUCAAGUCCUCCGUAAGCAUUCCCCAGGGCACAGCCCUUUACAAUUUACAGAAGCCUGUUCCACACCUGAAGUAAUUUUCAUUUUGCAGUUGAAAAAAACCAAGGCGCUAGCAGCCCCUUCAACACAACCGUUCUCACGGCACCAUGCCUGUCUAGCCUGGUCGCUCCCCUUCCUGCCAGGCUUAGCCUCUGCGUGUCCCCACCCCACCCUAACCUGGCACCUUCAAAGACCUCCAAGCUCAAGAGAAUGACCACCGAGGGGCCCAGGGCUGCUGGCUUUCUAGAGGUGCAGCUGCACGGGCCUCCUACCAUCUGAACUACAAAGCCUGUUUCUUGCCAUAGGAGAAAAAAUCAGAGCUCAUACCUAGCAAGGUGGCGUCCCUAUCUGACAGCUACCUUGACCAGACCUCUUCAGCCUCCAGCAUGAGCUGUAAGUCCCUGGUGCUUCCGCCAGGCCUCAGGAAGCUAAGGCAGCAGGGUGGUCAAAGCUCAGGGGUCGAAGACCGCUGGCCUAGGUGUGAGUUCGGCCCCGCUGCUGACAGCUGGGUGGCCUGGGGCGAGUGGCUCUAGAGCCGGAGUAACACUGUUGCGGGGCCUGCCCAGGACGAGGUGAGGCUUGCUCCAGGCACUUCAUGGUAGCUGCUGCUCUGCUCUCAUCCCCUCCUAGCCCUGUCCCUGAAAUAAGCCCACAAACCUUGUGCAUGGCCAGGGGGCUUUUAGCCCCAGUACAUAGGGCCCUAGCCUGGAGGAGACAGAAGUGAAGAAUGGGGAGGCUGCUCCUCAGAGGCCCCAAGGUGGGUGUGCGCAGUCCUCGCUCGGGAGGCGAGUGGCAGGGCCCAGGCCCCUUCUUCAUUUUGUGAAUCCAGCAAACUCCCCAAGUGCCCUGGGCCAGGCCUGUGCUCAACACUAGGCACAGGAAUGACUGGCAUAGUCCUUGCCCUGAGACGUGAAUUCUAAGCUCCAACAGGAAGAAGGCUCCCAGGUGACCCACAGCCAGGAGACAGGGCAGACACAGUGCGGGGGAAGCCGGGGUGUGGGUGCAUUUAGCACCUUUUAGUGGGGACGAGGAUGGAAGAGCAGGAGGGUGCCAGGCGGGGGGACGCAGGGGCCCUGCUGGGGCUGUCUGCUGCAACAGGAGCACAGAGGGCAGGGGCAGCCACAGAGCAGAGGCCUGGGACUGGGAGAAGGGGGCUCCUACGCAUCUCCCCCAUCUCACAGCCCCACGCCUCAGGGUCUGGGUCGCUGGGGGCUGGGCGGGGGUGAUCUGCAGGUCUUUCCCUUUGGCGAUGCGAAGCCUCUGGGCCAUAGGCCAGUGUGAGAUUGGGAAGCCCCUUUUCCCAGAGCUGUCCAGGGCAGGUGCGGCAGGCCUGAUGGGGGCUCUUGGCACACCCUUCCUAGUCAGGACCACAAGCACCUCAGAGACUGAGACGUCGGCUAUCUGCCAGGAAUACAGGAGCACCUCAGCCACCGCCGUGACAUUCUCUGACUCGUCACUGUUGAAGAUGCAAUCCUCGGACUCUGGGAACAACAGGGAGGCACUAAGCCAUGGUCCCAGAAAAAUCAAGGCCACCCAGGGCCAGAGGCAGAGCCUUAGCAAGACCGAGGCCACCCAGAGCCAGAGGCGGAACUCCAGCAAGACCAAGGCCACUAUACACAAGAGGAACUCCAGCAAGACCAAGGCCACCCAGAGCCAGAGGCAGAACUCCAGCAAGACCAGGGCCACCCAGGGCCAGGGGCAGAGCUCCAGCAAGACUGAGGCCACUCAGGGCCAGAGGCAGAGCUCCAGCGAGAUUGAGGCCACCCAGGGCCCAAGGCAGGAGCCCAGCAAGACCAAGACCACCCGGAGCCCAAGGCAGAGGCCCAGAAAGGUCAAGGCUGCUCGUGGCCGGAGCUGGAGACCCAGCAAGGUUGAUGCCACCCAGGGCCGAAGCAGGGGACUGCUCCGAAGUUCCACCAAGACUGAGGCUUUCUAUGAAUCAAACUGGAGCCUCAGCAAGACUGAGUAUGCCCAAGGCCAGGGCCAGAGGUCCAGCAAGGCUGAGGGUGCCCAGGGCAAGAGCCAGGGCAUGAGCUCAACUUCCAGCAAGGCCGAGUCCACCUGGGGACCCAGCCCAAGUCUCAGCAAAACUGAGGUUGAUCAGGACCUCACCUACUAUGAAGCUGUCUGAAGGGACCAUCCAGACCCUCCCUUCUUGCUGGCGAGGGGACGAGUUCCACCCACCUCCCCACACUGGCAUUCAGCCAGCUGCCUCCUUCCAGAGCAAUUAAAAGUCUUAGCAACAGUC
rnacentral:sRNA from 1 species